rnacentral:rRNA from 1 species
AUGCCCUCUGAUUUUGAGAAUAACGUUAAAGAAUUUAUGAUCUCUCAAAAGAAUUUUAAUGCUUUGCUUGAAGAAAAAUUGCUUAAAGUUGAUGAUUUGGCUAGGAACGUUGAUAGGCUUUCACUUGAUGUUGAUUCUUUGAAACUUAGAUCUACUCCACCUAAGCAUGAUAUCAAUGAGUCUCUCAAAGCUAUGAGAAUUUCCAUUGAUGAGUGCAAAGAAAGAACCGCUAGAUUGCAUGCUAAGAAAGAUUGCUUUGUAAAAGCGUGUUCUUCUAGUUUCCAUGAAAAUAAUGAUGAAGAUCUAAAAGUUAUUGAUGUGUCUCCCAUUAAAUCCUUGUUUUGCAAUAUAAAUCUUGAUAAUUAUGGGACUGGAGAUGAGUCAAAUUUAGUUAAAAGGUGUCCAAUAAUUCGGAGUUCUUAG